GAUGAACGCUAGCGGCAGGCUUAAUACAUGCAAGUCGUGGGGCAGCACAGAGUAGCAAUACUUGGGUGGCGACCGGCAAACGGGUGCGGAACACGUACGCAACCUUCCUUCAGGCGGGGAAUAGCCCAGAGAAAUUUGGAUUAAUACCCCAUAAAAUUUUGAGAUGGCAUCAUCUUAUUAUUAAAGCUUCGGCACCUGAUGAUGGGCGUGCGGCUGAUUAGGUAGUUGGCGGGGUAACGGCCCACCAAGCCUACGAUCAGUAGCUGAUGUGGGAGCAUGAUCAGCCACACGGGCACUGAGACACGGGCCCGACUCCUACGGGAGGCAGCAGUAAGGAAUAUUGGUCAAUGGUCGAAAGUCUGAACCAGCCAUGCCGCGUGGAGGAUGAAGGUCCUCUGGAUUGUAAACCUCUUUUAUUUGGGACGAAAAAAAGGGAAUUCUUUCCCACUUGACGGUACCAGAUGAAUAAGCACCGGCUAACUCCGUGCCAGCAGCCGCGGUAAGAC
rnacentral:rRNA from 1 species